rnacentral:rRNA from 1 species
GACGAACGCUGGCGGCGUGCUUAACACAUGCAAGUCGAACGAUGAAGCUGGAGCUUGCUCCGGUGGAUUAGUGGCGAACGGGUGAGUAACACGUGAGCAAUCUACCCUUCACUCUGGGAUAACUGCGGGAAACUGUAGCUAAUACCGGAUACGAGGCUUGGAGGCAUCUCCAGGUCUGGAAAGAAUUUCGGUGAAGGAUGAGCUCGCGGCCUAUCAGCUUGUUGGUGAGGUAAUGGCUCACCAAGGCGACGACGGGUAGCCGGCCUGAGAGGGUGACCGGCCACACUGGGACUGAGACACGGCCCAGACUCCUACGGGAGGCAGCAGUGGGGAAUAUUGCACAAUGGGCGAAAGCCUGAUGCAGCAACGCCGCGUGAGGGAUGAAGGCCUUCGGGUUGUAAACCUCUUUUAGCAGGGAAGAAGCGAAAGUGACGGUACCUGCAGAAAAAGCACCGGCUACUACGUGCCAGCCGCCGCAGUAA